AAAGUCGUAACAAGGUUUCCGUAGGUGAACCUGCGGAAGGAUCAUUAUUCAAUUUUAAUGAAGGGAUUUGGUUGUAGCUGGCUCAUGAAUUUGAGCAUGUGCACACCUUUUCUCUUUCAUCCACACACACAUGUGCACCUGUGAGGCAGUUGGGGAAUUUACUGAUUGUUUUUCUAAGAACAAUUGGUGCUGGACCCACUGUCUACUUAACCAAUAUAAACUCAAUAUAUUUUAAAAAUGAAUGUAAUGGAUGUAACACAUCUAAUACUAAGUUUCAACAACGGAUCUCUUGGCUCUC
rnacentral:misc_RNA from 1 species